GUUGAAGCUGGGGCAAGUAAUUUUCCCCAAUUUACAGGGAAAAACCGAAAUUCAGAAAAGUUUAAUGUCAGCCAGGGGCUGGAACCCAGACCUCUGGCAGCUGUCACUUUCACAAUGCCCUUGGGCUGACUAGGCUGCAGAGGGGUUUCACCCCAACCCCAGGGCACCUCAAGUGGCCCCACCAAACCUUCCUAACACCUGACCACUAAGUAGGGAGGCCUCUCAGGGGGCUAGCUGUGCUAGGCCCUUGCAACUGACCUGUGGGACCUGAGGCCUGGCCCCUCAUGGCUCCUGUCACCAGGUCUCAGGUCAGGGUCCAGCAGGCCCUGAGCUGACGUGCGGAGCCAGAGCCACCCAAUCCCGUAGGGACAGGUUUCACAACUUCCCGGAUGGGGCUGUGGGCAGCCUCCAGCCAGAAGGAUGGGGUGGCUCCCACUCCUGCUGCUUCUGACUCAAUGCUUAGGGGUCCCUGGGCAGCGCUCGCCAUUGAAUGACUUCUAGGUGCUCCGGGGCACAGAGCUACAGCGCCGCUACAAGCGGUGGUGCCCGGGCCUUGGCAGGAGGAUGUGGCAGAUGCUGAAGAGUGUGCUGGUCGCUGUGGGCCCUUAAUGGACUGCCGGGCGUUCCACUACAAUGUGAGCAGCCAUGGUUGCCAACUGCUGCCAUGGACUCAACACUCACCCCACACGAGGCUGCGGCAUUCUGGGCGCUGUGACCUCUUCCAGGAGAAAGACUACAUACGGACCUGCAUCAUGAACAAUGGGGUUGGGUACCGGGGCACCAUGGCCACGACCGUGGGUGGCCUGUCCUGCCAGGCUUGGAGCCACAAGUUCCCGAACGAUCACCAGUACAUGCCCACGCUCCGGAAUGGCCUGGAAGAGAACUUCUGCCGUAACCCUGAUGGCGACCCCGGAGGUCCUUGGUGCCACACAACAGACCCUGCCGUGCGCUUCCAGAGCUGCGGCAUCAAAUCCUGCCGGGUGGGAGUGCCAGCGCUGGGAUCUUCAGCACCCGCACCAGCACCCCUUCGAGCCGGGCAAGUUCCUCGACCAAGGUCUGGACGACAACUAUUGCCGGAAUCCUGACGGCUCCGAGCGGCCAUGGUGCUACACUACGGAUCCGCAGAUCGAGCGAGAAUUCUGUGACCUCCCCCGCUGCGGUGGUCCGAGGCACAGCCCCGCCAAGAGGCCACAAGUGUCAGCUGCUUCCGCGGGAAGGGUGAGGGCUACCGGGGCACAGCCAAUACCACCACCGCGGGCGUACCUUGCCAGCGUUGGGACGCGCAAAUCCCGCAUCAGCACCGAUUUACGCCAGAAAAAUACGCGUGCAAGUACUGCUACCACGGCGCGGGGGAGCAGUACCGCGGCACGGUCAGCAAGACCCGCAAGGGUGUCCAGUGCCAGCGCGGGUCCGCUGAGACGCCGCACAAGCCGCAGUGAAUCCCUGGUGCUCCCGGCCCCGCCAGGGCCCUAACCCUGGGGCGGCAUGCUUUGAUGUCUGGGACCAGAGCCUGGAAAUGGUUGAGACUACCCUGCCACGACUUCGCUCCCGCUCCCGCCUCGGUUCACGUUUACCUCCGAACCGCAUGCACAACUGGAGGAGAACUUCUGCCAGACCCAGAUGGGGAUAGCCAUGGGCCCUGGUGCUACACGAUGGACCCAAGGACCCCAUUCGACUACUGUGCCCUGCGACGCUGCGCUGAUGACCAGCCGCCAUCAAUCCUGGACCCCCCCAGGUACCAGGUGCAGUUUGAGAAGUGUGGCAAGAGGGUGGAUCGGCUGGAUCAGCGUUGUUCCAAGCUGCGCGUGGCUGGGGGCCAUCCGGGCAACUCACCCUGGACAGUCAGCUUGCGGAAUUGGUGUCUAGCAUCUGUCCCAGGAGUCUGUUCCCUGUCCUAAUUCCCCACUCCUCUAGGCAGGGCCAGCAUUUCUGCGGGGGGUCUCUAGUGAAGGAGCAGUGGAUACUGACUGCCCGGCAGUGCUUCUCCUCCUGCCAUAUGCCUCUCACGGGCUAUGAGGUAUGGUUGGGCACCCUGUUCCAGAACCCACAACAUGGAGAGCCAGGCCUACAGCGGGUCCCAGUAGCCAAGAUGCUGUGUGGGCCCUCAGGCUCUCAGCUUGUCCUGCUCAAGCUGGAGAGAUCUGUGACCCUGAACCAGCGUGUGGCCCUGAUCUGCCUGCCGCCUGAAUGAUAUGUGGUGCCUCCAGGGACCAAGUGUGAGAUUGCAGGCCGGGGUGAGACCAAAGGUGUACGGGUAAUGACACAGUCCUAAAUGUGGCCUUGCUGAAUGUCAUCUCCAACCAGGAGUGUAACAUCAAGCACCGAGGACAUGUGCGGGAGAGCGAGAUGUGCACUGAGGGACUGUUGGCCCCUGUGGGGGCCUGUGAGGGUGACUACGGGGGCCCACUUGCCUGCUUUACCCACAACUGCUGGGUCCUGAAAGGAAUUAGAAUCCCCAACCGAGUAUGCGCAAGGUCGCGCUGGCCAGCCGUCUUCACGCGUGUCUCUGUGUUUGUGGACUGGAUUCACAAGGUCAUGCCUUGACGCCAUAUGCUUUGGGGAGGACAAAACUUGUAAGUACAGUCAAGGACAAGACUUGUACUCAAGGCUGAGAUUUAAUAAAAUUCAUAUUUUUACUACUUCACCAAGGACUUUCUUAAAUGAAAAUGGUUUUUCC
rnacentral:lncRNA from 1 species